rnacentral:rRNA from 1 species
UGGGGGAUAUUGCACAAUGGGGGGAACCCUGAUGCAGCGACACCGCGUGGGUGAGGAAGCGCUUCGGCGUGUAAAGCCCUAUCAGUGGGGAAGAAAGAAGACGGUACCCAAAGAAGAAGCACCGGCUAAAUACGUGCCAGCAGCCGCGGUAAUACGUAUGGUGCAAGCGUUAUCCGGAAUGACUGGGUGUAAAGGGAGCGUAGACGGUUGUAUAAGUCUGAUGUGAAAGCCCUCGGCUUAACUGGGGGAGUGCAUUGGAAACUAUAGAACUAGAGUAUCGGAGAGGCAAGUGGAAUUCCUAGUGUAGCGGUGAAAUGCGUAGAUAUUAGGAGGAACACCAGUGGCGAAGGCGGCUUGCUGGACGAAAACUGACGUUGAGGCUCGAAAGCGUGGGGAGCAAACAGG